UCACAGUAAGGGCUAGUUAUGAUAGUCUGUGUCACAGUAAGGGCUAGUUAUGAUAGUAUGUAUCACAGUAAGGGCUAGUUAUGAUAGUAUGUAUCACAGUAAGGGCUAGUUAUGAUAGUAUGUGUCACAGUAAGGGCUAGUUAUGAUAGUCUGUGUCACAGUAAGGGCUGGUUAUGGUAGCCCAUGCCACAGUCAGGGUUGGCUAUAUCAGUCAAUAUGCAAAUUGAAU